CUGAAACAGUCUUAACCCAUUCUCGACAUGUACUCGACCUAUUUUUCCAGUCUAAACCAUACUUAACCAAAGGUCUGAACAAUACUCGACCAGUCUGAACCAUACUAGACCAAAAAACCUCUAUUUUUUUAACUGUUAAAAUAAAUUUCUUUUUAACUGACAUAUAUUACAACAGCCAACAAAAUUUAUAAAAUACAUUUAACCUUAUAAAAGAAAUAUAUCUCUGAUUAUAUUUAGGAUAAAAAAAAUUAAUUAUAUAUAACUUAUAUCAAAAAGGUAUAAAAUUAAAUAAAUAGAUAAAAUUGUUUUUCUGAUUAGUGGUGAAAUAUAAAGUAUAACCUCUGCUUGGGGCAAACUCAUAAAUAAGAUCACACCUGGUCAGAGGUAUUAAAUUCUAAAUAACAUUGAUUCAAAAUUGCAACAUCCUGUUUAAAUUAAAUAACAAGGCCUUUCGAAUAUACAUGUAUGUACUAGAUAAGUAAUACACGAAUUUAAGAAAAUAGGGCUUUCUUUUUACCUGUAAAACACACAUGUACUGAGGUAAUUAGAACAUAUUAAAGUGCUUUAUGUAUGCCAUGU
rnacentral:lncRNA from 1 species